rnacentral:rRNA from 1 species
GGUUCAGAUACCAUGCAUGUCUAGUAUAAAUAGUAUACAGUGAAACUGCGAAUGGCUCAUUAAAACAGUUAUAGUUUAUUUGAUAAUGGAAAGCUACAUGGAUAACCGUGGUAAUUCUAGAGCUAAUACAUGCUGUCAAGCCCGACUUCUCGGAAGGGCUGUAUUUAUUAGAUAUCAAGCCAAUAUUCCUUCGGGUCUAUUGUGGUGAAUCAUAGUAACUGAUCGAAUCCUUUUUUAAGAUAAAUCAUUCAAUUUUCUGCCCUAUCAUCUUUCUAUGGUAGUGUAGUGGACUACCGUGGUUUUAACGGGUACAGAAAAUUAGGGUUCGGUUCCAGAGAGGGAGCCUGAAAAACGGCUACCACAUCUAAAGAAGGCAGCAGUGGUGAAAAUUACCCAAUCCUGAUUCAGGGAGGUAGUGACAAGAAAUAGAAAUCUGGGCCUCUUUCGAGGUUACGGAAUUUAAAUGAAAAUUUUUAAAAGACUUAUCGAGGAACAA